rnacentral:rRNA from 1 species
CCCUUAGAUGUUCUGGGCCGCACGCGCGCUACACCGAUGCAUUCAACGAGUUUCUUCCUGGUCCGAGAGGAAUGGGUAACCUUUUGAAAGUGCAUCGUGAUAGGGAUAGACUAUUGCAAUUAUUAAUCUUCAACGAGGAAUGCCUAGUAGGCGCAAGUCAUCAGCUUGCGUCGAUUACGUCCCUGCCCUUUGUACACACCGCCCGUCGCUCCUACCGAUUGGGUGUGCUGGUGAAAUGUUCGGAUCGGCCGUUUGUCGCGGUUUCCGCGUCAUGUGGCUGAGAAGUUCAUUAAACCCUCCCACCUAGAGGAAGGAGAAGUCGUAACA